UCAGCCUGCCGAUUAAAUGGAACUACAGCAAGCAGCGCGCCGGCCUGGGAAAAGGAGCAAGAUGGCUGACUCCGAAGAGGGUGUUUUGCCGCUGACGGCUGCUUCCACUGCCCCAAUUUCAUUCGGCUUCACUCGCACGUCCGCACGGAGGCGGCUGGCCGACUCGGGAGACGGCGCGGGGCCAUCUCCGGAGGAGAAGGAUUUCUUGAAAACCGUGGAAGGGAGGGAGCUGCAGAGGUGACGCGCCGGGUCUUUCACCCCUUGGAAAUCUCUGCGGUGGGCGUAAGCGGGAGGGAGGAAUCUCAGUUGUUUGUCUUGGUGACAGUGACCUGUUAAGCCUGAAGCACAGCCUGAGUACAUUCGUGGAGGCCAGAAGGCGGGAGUUUAUAGGAGGGGGUGAGGAAAUUGGGCCUGAUAGCUGUGGGAAUUGCGAAGAGAGGAUGUAUUACUGAGAAGAAGUGUCUUUAGGACUUGAAGACACUAAGGUCUGUGCGUUCUGGGAGAAGGAAAGAAUGAGAAAAUGACAGGACCUGCUAGUGUCUCAACUGAAGUGGUGAGGCGUCUCCGAUAUGGG
rnacentral:lncRNA from 1 species